ensembl:snRNA U6 U6 spliceosomal RNA
GUGCUUGGUUGGGCAUCACAUAUACUAAAAUUGGAACGAUACAGAGAAGAUUAACAUGGCCCCUGGACAAGGGUGACAGGCAGAUUUGUGAAACAUUCUGUAUUUUC